AAUAUUGCGCAAUGGACGGAAGUCUGACGCAGCGACGCCGCGUGAGCGAUGAAGGCCUUCGGGUCGUAAAGCUCUGUCCUUGGGGAAGAAGGUCUUCGGACUUGACGGUACCCAAGAAGAAAGCCCCGGCUAACUACGUGUCAGCAGCCGCGGUAAUAUGUAGGGGGCGAGCGUUGUUCGGAAUUACUGGGUGUAAAGGGGGAGUAGGCGGCCCUUUAAAGUAGGUGUUAAAGGCCAAGGCUUAACCGGUGGAUUGCAAUUGAAACUGGGGGGCUUGAAGGUUGGGGAGGGUAGUGGAAUUCCCAAUGUAGCGGUGAAAUGCGUAAGUAUUAAGAGGAAAACCCGGGGCGAAGGCGACUAACUGGGCUGGAUCUGACACUGAGGUGCGAAAGCGUGGGGAGCAAAC
rnacentral:rRNA from 1 species